rnacentral:misc_RNA from 1 species
AACUUUCGACAACGGAUCUCUUGGCUCUCGCAUCGAUGAAGAACGCAGCGAAUUGCGAUAAGUAGUAUGAAUUGCAAAUUCUGUGAAUCAUCGAAUCUUUGAACGCAUAUUGCGCUCUCUGGUACUCCGGAGAGCAUGCCUGUUUGAGGGUAAUUAACAGAAUCUUUAACCUUUCUUGGUUAAAGGAUAUGGGCAUUCCGCGAUUAGCGGUGGCCUAAAAUAUAUGGUCAGUCUCAUCGAGUUGAGAUGCGUAAUAAUUAUUAUUUCGCAAAAGUAUUUUGAUGAGCUACCAGGUUUUGAUUCAUUCAACUAUGUUGGAUGUGGUUAAAACAAAUAUUUUUGACAUUACCUCAAAUCAGGUAGGAAUACCCGCUGAACUUAAGCAUAUCAAUAAGCGGAGGCU